rnacentral:rRNA from 1 species
UGAACGCUAGCGGGAGGCUUAAUACAUGCAAGUCGAGGGAGAAACCAUCUUCGGAUGGCAGAAACCGGCGAACGGGUGAGUAACGCGUACGCAACCUACCCUUAACCGGGGGAUAGCCUUGGGAAACUGAGAUUAAUACCCCAUAGUUUUCGAUUGUGGCAUCACAUACGAAAUAAAGUUCCGAUGGUUAAGGAUGGGCGUGCGUCCUAUUAGUUAGUUGGUGAGGUAACGGCUCACCAAGACAAUGAUAGGUAGGGGGCGUGAGAGCGUGAUCCCCCACACGGGUACUGAGACACGGACCCGACUCCUACGGGAGGCAGCAGUAAGGAAUAUUGGACAAUGGGCGAAAGCCUGAUCCAGCCAUCCCGCGUGCAGGAUGAAUGCCCUAUGGGUUGUAAACUGCUUUUGUUAGGGAAGAAUAAUCUCGAUUUAUUGGGAUUUGACGGUACCUUUCGAAUAAGCACCGGCUAACUCC